GUAGUUGCUCAUUCAAUUUUUUAUGUCGGUCCACAAAGUAGGGUGGAAAUAUGCCACAUAAGCCAGGAAUGACGCCAAAGUAAGGUGCCUACCGUCCAAUUAAUGAUAUUCGCUUUCUGGCCUUAUCAAGCAACGGGCGACACGUGGAGUGAGGCACCACCUAUAUGUUUAUCAAUAACUAUGUUUGAUAACGAAAAAAAUAGUAUU
rnacentral:sRNA from 1 species